GACGAACCGUACGAACGUUAUUCGGAAUUACUGGGCUUAAAGGGUGCGUAGGCGGCGCAGUAAGUUGGGUGUGAAAUCCCUCGGCUUAACCGAGGAAUUGCGCCCAAAACUACUGUGCUCGAGGGAGAUAGAGGUGAGCGGAACUUAGGGUGGAGCGGUGAAAUGCGUUGAUAUCCUAAGGAACACCGGUGGCGAAAGCGGCUCACUGGUCCGGUACUGACGCUGAGGUGCGAAAGCGUGGGGAGCAAACAGG
rnacentral:rRNA from 1 species